GUGCUCACUUCUGCAACACAUAUACUAAAAUUGGAACAAUAUACAGAAGAUUAGCAUGACCCCUGGGCAAGGAUGACAUGCAAAUUCAUGAAGUGUUCCAUAUUAAA
rnacentral:snRNA from 1 species